rnacentral:lncRNA from 1 species
GCACAGCAGUAACGCUUCUUGAUAUAUUAAGAAUUUUCGACAGCGAAACAUGACAGCGUCAAGAUGUCUUGCUCUGUUCGUUGUUACAAUCAUGCAUAGAUGAUAGGUGUAGGAACUAAUCCCAGUGUUACAUUGAGUGUAAAAAUACAUCAAUCCAUGCAGGGCCAGCUCCUGUGUGCAGCAACGACGCUUGACAGGAACAUGCACUCCGCUAAACCAUCUCCAACUUGCAGUGCUUUGCUAUCAGCUAUCAGCAUCCGGUGUACCUGACAGAAAUGAGAAAUGCGGUGCCGACUUCCGUCGUCGUUGCUGCACUAGGCAUGCAUCUUUGAGACCUUCUCGGA